rnacentral:rRNA from 1 species
CAGUAGCCGCGGGAAAACGUAGGGUGCAAGCGUUAAUCGGAAUUACUGGGCGUAAAGCGUGCGCAGGCGGUUUGUUAAGACAGAUGUGAAAUCCCCGGGCUCAACCUGGGAACUGCAUUUGUGACUGGCAAGCUAGAGUAUGGCAGAGGGGGGUGGAAUUCCGCGUGUAGCAGUGAAAUGCGUAGAUAUGCGGAGGAACACCGAUGGCGAAGGCAGCCCCCUGGGCCAAUACUGACGCUCAUGCACGAAAGCGUGGGGAGCAAACAGGAUUAGAUACCCCAGUAGUCCCUGUCUCUUAUAC